rnacentral:rRNA from 1 species
CAGUCGCCACGGUAAUACGUAGGGUGCGAGCGUUAAUCGGAAUUACUGGGCGUAAAGCGUGCGCAGGCGGUUAUAUAAGACAGAUGUGAAAUCCCCGGGCUCAACCUGGGACCUGCAUUUGUGUCUGUAUAGCUAGAGUACGGUAGAGGGGGAUGGAAUUCCGCGUGUAGCAGUGAAAUGCGUAGAUAUGCGGAGGAAUACCGAUGGCGAAGGCAGCCCCCUGGGAUAACACUGACGCUCAUGCACGAAAGCGUGGGGAGCAAACAGGAUUAGAUACCCCCGUAGUCCCUGUCUCUUAUAC